rnacentral:rRNA from 1 species
ACGCUCGACACCUACGGUAGGCAGCAGUGGGGAAUAUUGGGCAAUGGAGGCAACUCUGACCCAGCAACGCCGCGUGAAUGAUGAAGGUCUUCGGAUUGUAAAGUUCUGUGACGGGGGACGAACACAAUGACGGUACCCCGAUAGCAAGCCACGGCUAACUACGUGCCAGCAGCCGCGGUAAUCUGAGGCGGGCUGGCAAGGC